GAGCCUACGGGAGGCAGCAGUGAGGGAUAUUGGUCAAUGGGCGGGAGCCUGAACCAGCCAAGUCGCGUGAGGGAAGACGGUCCUAUGGAUUGUAAACCUCUUUUGUCGGGGAGCAAAGAGAUCACGUGUGGUCAAAAGCGAGAGUACCCGAAGAAAAAGCAUCGGCUAACUCCGUGCCAGCAGCCGCGGUAAUACGGAGGAUGCGAGCGUUAUCCGGAUUUAUUGGGUUUAAAGGGUGCGUAGGCGGGACGGUAAGUCAGCGGUAAAGAUGCGGAGCUCAACUCCGUCGAGCUGUCGAAACUGCC
rnacentral:rRNA from 1 species